GCAAGGUAGAGGCAGCGGAAAAACGGAGAGGAGAGCGAGAGAGCAGAGGAGCGCGAGAAAGCAGGACCGACGCCCGCCCGGAGGAUCACGUACCUUUAGCUCCUCAAUGUCCAGGUUCGUUGAUCUGUCCAUGGAGCGAAACUAAAGGAAGUGCAGAGAGACCUGGGCAAGUUGAACCAAAAAACCAAUCUAGUCUUUUAGUUUCCAGCCUAAACUCAGCUUUAUCCUCCUCCAAGCCCUGGCAGCGUCUCUCAGUCUCAUUCUCCGUGAUCACGCCGCCUCCGCCGGUUAAAAAUAAUAAAAAUAAAUAAAUAAUAAUUAUAAUACAGUUUGUUUUACUUCCUGGAAGAUUUAGUGACAGGUGAUCUCUACCACGGUGCAACACAGCUCAGUCGAAUCAAGCACGGGGGUUGGGGGGAAAGAAAGAUCCACUCUAUUUAAGAUUAUUUCUUCUGCAAUAAGCUUAGAAACCAGCGAAUUGCUGCAUCCCAAGAAAAAAAGCUGCUUCCCUGGACAGCAUCAUGCGGCAAAUUUCAAGCAAAUGUGUUCAAACUGAAGAGAAGAGUAUAUGAUAAAAGCCUUCCUCCGCCAGGCUUACUCUGGUAGCUAAUUUAGCACACUGUGAGUCCCAAGCAUUAGCAAUGAUCAAUUUCCCUGGCACGGUAACCAAAUCCCCGAAGUCCUGCAUAGACUUGAAAAUGUCUUGCAGCUCAGAGGUUUCCUCUCAAUGGGGAAAAGAAGAUAAUAAAGUCUGAAGGGAACGAUCUCCUUUGAAGGUUAUGCUAAAAAGAGUUGAGAGAAUAGGAGGUGGAUCCUUCGGAGGAGAGGAAAGAGGGAGAGAGAGAAAGCCAGAGAGGGAGAGCAAAAUUUUCCUCCUGCUUUGCUGUUUUACUGGCCUUCACCACCAGGUGACUGACUUCACUUCUCUCUUCCCACAGCCAGCGCUAAGGGGAUUUCUCGUCUGUCAAAAAGCAACAUUUCCUCUCCAGACAAAUACUGAGCUGCUGGGUCUUAAAGACUGCCCUCUGCCCGGAGUCCACUUUUGGCAACAAAGAAUGGGAUUUCAAGCUGACUGCUAACAGCCAGAGCAUUAGACACAC
rnacentral:lncRNA from 1 species